CGCCGUGUGCGAGCGCACGCGUCAUGGGCGCAGCGAGCACAAACCCAACCCCCAAUCCAUAGCCGCCACACCCUCCCUCCUCCUCUUUCCUCCCUCGUCUGCCGCCGCCACGCCCUCCCUCCUCGUCGCCCUGUCUCUGCCCAGCUUUGCCACCUCCCACGCGCUCGUCCUCUCAUCUCCCAUGGAGCGGAGGGGUGAGGAUGUUGGGGAAGGAGGAAGCCGGAGAUGAGGAGGUCGAUGCAGGGGACGCCAUGGAUGGUCGGGGCGCUGGCUCCUCCUUUCCCCAUGCCACGGCUGCCCAGAUCCGGCGAUCCCCUCCCACUCUGGCAUCCAGGUUGGAGGCAUUGGCGUGAAGGUGUCGUGAGUUAUCUGCAAGGGCAUUGUUGUGACGUGCUCCUCCAUGUCUCCCGCGAGUUCUUGGUGUGGCGAUCAUGGCUCGAGAGAGCAUAAAAUGUAUGCAUUGGAGGUGGUAGCAUUGCUAAAGAUCUACAUAUUGUAGCAGUAGUUUUUACUGUGAAACAUAAGCUCUUUUUACAGUGCAAUUAUUAAAUUGUAGUAGUAGUUUUUCUUGCAGCUUGUAGUAGUAGUUUUUCUUGUCAAAAUCGGUCCUUUCUCUGUACUUGUUGAUCUUUUUAGUCUGAAUUUUCCAACCAAUUCAGGAUUUUUGUUUUGCAACA